CCUGCAACAAAUGGAAAUCACAACAACAAAUGACAGAUAAUAUAACAGAAUAAUAGCAAACAAAUUAAGGGGGAAAAAGGGGAAAUUUGUAAAUCUUGAUUUUGGCUAUAUAAAGCCAAUUGUAUACUGUAAAUGGGGGAUUAUUAUUUUUUUCCACAGAAAUACAGACGCAUAUUGAAAGAGAAAUAAAAAUCGAAAAGGGACGGGAUUUUGAAAUCGAAGCAAAUAGUCUUCGAGGUUUAACCCUCCAUGGCUAUUCUGUGCAUCUUGAGUCACUGAUCAAAACGAAGCAAGAACAUGCAGAUAAGGGGGCUAUGGGAAUCAGCCAAAGGGAGAGGAGUGAAUUAGAGUGCUUCUGUCUUCUCUCUUUUGUUAGUAUUUUAGGUUUUUUUUUCCUUUUGAUUUUUAUGAAACAAACAGAAUGGCACCGUUUGAGAAAGGUAAAGGUUUGCGUGAAAACCUGAUUUAGAAGUUGGAUUUGUGCCUUUUUAUUUAAAUGGAUAAUUUGCAUGUUUGAUCC